UACGUAGGGUGCGAGCGUUAAUCGGAAUUACUGGGCGUAAAGCGUGCGCAGGCGGCGCGUUAAGACAGGUGUGAAAGCCCCCGAGCUUAACUUGGGAAUUGCGCUUGUGACUGGCGUGCUGGAGUGUGGCAGAGGGAGGUGGAAUUCCACGUGUAGCAGUGAAAUGCGUAGAGAUGUGGAGGAAUACCGAUGGCGAAGGCAGCCCCCUGGGCCAAUACUGACGCUCAUGCACGAAAGCGUGGGGAGCAAACAGG
rnacentral:rRNA from 1 species